rnacentral:tRNA from 1 species
AAUAAGAUGCCUGAUAAAAGGACUAUUUUGAUAGAAUAGAUAAUGUAGAUAUUCUACUCUUAUUA